rnacentral:misc_RNA from 1 species
CAACCCCUAAGCACAGCUUAUUGUUGGGAACCUACGGCUUCGUAGUUCCUCAAAGACAUUGGCGGAGUGGCAGUGGUCCUCUGAGCGUAGUAAUCUUUUAUCUCGCUUCUGUUAGGUGCUGCCCCCCCGGCCGUAAAACCCCCAAUUUUUUCU